UCUCCGUUGGUGAACCAGCGGAGGGAUCAUUACUGAGUUGCAAAACUCCCAAACCCAUGUGAACAUACCUGUUGCCUCGGCGGCCUACCCGGCAGCUACCCCGUAGCCACCCUGUAGCCCGCCGACGGACCACUAAAACUCUGUUUUUUAUGUCUCUCUGAGUAAAAAUCAUAAUAAGUUAAAACUUUCAACAACGGAUCUCUUGGUUCUGGCAUCGAUGAAGAACGCAGC
rnacentral:misc_RNA from 1 species